rnacentral:tmRNA from 7 species
CCUCUUCCAAUCGCGGUCAACCGCGCCUAUAUACGGCGUGUCAGCGCAAGCUGACUAUGGUGAUAAACGGACGGUGUAAUAAACCCAUUGGACCCGGGGGCGGUACCCGGCGCCUCCACCAGAAUACAGAUCGGCUAGCGGUUUGUAUUGUGGCGGGGGCGAAACAGGAUCGACAAGGGUGUAAAGAUCGCUCUUUUACUCGGCAUGAUACCACCGUUAUCGGGUCAAUUGAGUAGUUGCAAAUGACAACAAAGCUCAGGGUUAUGCUCUCGCUGCCUAAUGGCGGUGCGGGAAACCCACUCUAAAGCCCUUGGGGUUAGCACCUUAAGGCGGGGUUCGGAGGCACCUGGCAACAGAAGCCUCCACU